rnacentral:rRNA from 1 species
GACGAACGCUGGCGGCGUGGAUUAGGCAUGCAAGUCGAACGAGAAAGUCCCUUCGGGGGCGAGUACAGUGGCGCACGGGUGAGUAACACGUGGAUAACCAACCCUCGGGUGGGGGAUAACAGUCCGAAAGGAUUGCUAAUCCCGCAUAAGACCACGGCAGCUGCGGCUGCUGAGGUAAAAGGCGCUUUAUUGAGUCGCCUGAGGACGGGUCCGCGUCCCAUUAGCUAGUUGGCGGGGUAAUGGCCCACCAAGGCGAUGAUGGGUAGCUGGUCUGAGAGGAUGACCAGCCACACUGGGACUGGAACACGGCCCAGACUCCUACGGGAGGCAGCAGUGAGGAAUCUUGCGCAAUGGGGGAAACCCUGACGCAGCAACGCCGCGUGAGUGAGGAAGGCCUUCGGGUCGUAAAGCUCUGUCAGAUGGGAAGAAAUGGGUGGGGCGUAAUAUCGCCCAUCCUUGACGGUACCAUCAGAGGAAGCACCGGCUAACUCCGUGCCAGCAGCCG